GUUGAUGCAAGAAGAGUUGAUUUAGAAAGCACAAAGAUGUUCAUAUAGGCAUUGUAUUGUUAGUAAUAUCUAAUGAAAAAAGUUAAAUAGAUAGUUAGUACUGCGAAGGAAUAGUAUAUUAAUAGUAGUAACAAGUAGUGGUUAUACCAUGUACCUUUUGCAUUAUGGCCUGGAAAGAUAGAAGAAUCAGAUAGAUUUUCCUCGAAGCCUAACGAGCGUCCUUUUUGUUACAUUUAGUGUAAAACCUUGCUUAUGUGGCACAAUGAGGAGGAAAUAAAAAGGAAGUGUUGAAAUUUCAUUCGUGUAGGGGGAUAGCUAGUUUUUUCAUAAAUACAUGUUAGUGUAGCGGUUGUAGUUAUAACUAAAUCUUUUUGACUAUGUGUGUGGGAGUGGAAUUAGUUAGUAUACUACCGUUAGGCAUUGGAGACUAAGCUCUGGUGUUGGAAAGUUUUAUAAUAAACAAAUUUUUGAGGGGGGGAGCCUAAAACUAGCAAUCCCUUCAACCAUUUGUUAUAAUUGACUCCUAUUAAAUGCAAAUGUUAAGAUAUUUUUAAGAAGCAAUUUAUUUAAUGAAAAUACAUGCAAAAACAUGAUUGUUUGAAAAUAAUGCUAGGAUGAGUAUCACGAAGUUGAAAUACGUGUGGAACUUACUUAUUUCAAGAAGAAGGUAAUAAAUUGAUAGAUAGUUACAGUUGUAUAUUUUAGAAAAGGAAUUCGGCAAAAUAGACCCCCGCCUGUUUAACAAAAACAUGGCUCUUUGUUAGAACUAUAAAGAGUUUGACCUGCUCUAUGAUUUUUAUUAAAUGGCCGCGGUACCCUGACCGUGCAAAGGUAGCAUAAUCACUUGCCUUUUAAUUGGAGGCUGGUAUGAAUGGUUGGACGGGGGGUUAACUGUCUCUCCUAAAAUACGAGAAUUUAAUUUAUAGGUACAAAAGCCUAUAUUCUAUUAAAAGACGAGAAGACCCUAGCGAGCUUUAUUCUAGCUGUGUAAUUAUUAUCAUCACAGGGAGAUUUUGGUUGGGGCGACUGAGGAGAAAAAAGCAUCCUUGUUUUAUAAUAAAAUUGUGGUUGCAGAUCCAACCAAUGUUGAGUGACAGGUGAGCUACCGUAGGGAUAACAGCGUAAUCCUUUUAGAGAGUUCUAAUCGAAAAAAGGGUUUGCGACCUCGAUGUUGGACUAGGAUAUCCUAUGGGUGCAGAAGCUUUUAAGGGUUGGUCUGUUCGACCACUAAAAUCCU
rnacentral:rRNA from 1 species